AAACAAAAGUGCAGAUUUAUUUUAAGCAGACGUGCCUUUGCAUGUAAUCAAUGUUUCAGUCCAACUACCUUGACAUAUUAAUGAAAGCUUGUUAAUGGGACUGAAAUGGUGAAUGUAUGUAGGGCACAACUGUAAAAAAUGUUUAUUUUGAAGUCCUGUGGGUGUGCUCUUCACUUUAAAUAUGUUAUUGUGCUGGAGUAUGCACCUAGCAACAAGACUGGG